CUUGCAGCCUUUUAGUGUGCUGAUCAGGCGAGCUUAGAGAUGGGGGAACGGGAAAAAAAAAACCCAGAAAGGAAAGAGAACGAGAAGCCCAGGGCUCCAAAGCAGCUGAGGUGUCAAAGACAAAGAUUUAAUGAAUGUGCCUGCGGUUCACCUGAACAGAUGAGCACAAGCUAGAAGGAAAGAACGAAGAAAAUGGAAAAAAGAAAGGAUCAUUUUUCAGAUUGGCAGCUCCCCUCGCAGACAUCUUUUAACAAGAAAAAAAAAGGACUCCCAGCCUUGCUUUUAAAGGGCCAGCAUCAUUAUUCUGCUCUGUGGCAGCAGAUGUCUAGAGGAAGCUAUUUAAUAAAACUAUAUUUAAUGCAAAAGGUUCCAAGCCAGCCGUCUCCUUCCCUUUUUCCUGCUCAUAAUUCCAGCUGAGGCUACACAAUGCAACUCAGGGAAGAGAGCAAAAGCAGACAGAACCAUCCUCAGAAAUGCCUUGGUGUUGAGGGCAGUGAGACAUCCAGGCACUGAAAGGUGAAUGCUGAUGUUCCCGAAGGCGCCCAGAGCCAGGCCCAUCGCUCCGGUCCAAUCCAGGAUGCUGAGGUCCCGGUUACCCCCCCACCCAUUUACCUACCCCCACGGCAACCUCAGCCACCGUAACCUGGAGGCAUGGGAUGAGAUAUAAUUUGGUCUGUGAGCAAGUUUGUUUGUGGGCCUCUCCUGAGCAAAGGCUGCCAAUUAUAUUCAAUGUGCUGAACUCUGUCAGAUUAGGUUCUUGUCAUCGAAAAGAGGAGGGUGCUUCCCCCCCCCCCCCCCUUUCUAUUUUAAUAGCAUUUCAGAGGGACCCUAAAGACGGAGUUUGGGGGAUGGUGGUGAACGCUGCUUGCGGGCGUCCUUCAUAUUUCUCUCCUCUCCUAUGCAACCUCCCCCAGACCCUCAUCCCCUCGCAGAUCUCAUGCACGACAUGCAUGCAGCUAUUUUGAAUGCGUGACUGAUACAUAGGCAGACAAGGUUCCUUGGGUGAAUUUGAUAUUUUUUAUUAGACCAACCCAAAUAGUUGGAGAAUAGUUAUUAAGCAAGGGUUUUUCGGGUUCAAAAACCCUUCCCUUGACUGAUACACGUGCACACCAUUGUUCUUUAUGGAACGCAGUCAGCGCCAUUCGACUCCUUGUCCUAAACCAGUCAUUCCCAGCCAGGUUCCUGUGGCACCCCGGUGUUCAGUGAGAGCCUUUUCAACGUGCUGCGGGGUGCUGCGCAAUAUCGGCACUGUUAGAUGUGCAAAUGCCGACAUGUGAUUCACAAGAUAAACCCAGAGAUUUCAAGUAGGACUCCACCGGGUGAAAAGCAUUCCGACUUUUUGUGGCCUUUCUGAGUUCCCUGCAACAGAAAAGGGGAUCUAUUAUUUUUCUGUCAUCAAAAAACAAGUGAAAAUAGUUUGUGAAAUGGGGUGCCACUAAAUUCUGUAGAGCUAUAAAGAGGUGCCUCGAGUCUGAAAAGGUUGAGAACCGUUGUCCUAAACCCUCCAUCGCUCGCAGAGGUUCUGCUUUAGCUCAAGCAAUAGCAGGUUGGACUUGGGAGGAGGGAAGACCUGAGCUCUUUCCACGCUGUCACUACAAACGUCGUCAUGGCCAGAGUAUACAGCACAGUGACAGUUAAGAUUGGAGUUUUACAGUACAGCUGCAGAUUAAAUGCAUCAUCUUUCCCCUUUGAUAUAAGGUGUGACCUAUGCCCAGAUAUAUCUGAACUAGACUCCCCUUUCUUAAUGAUCAGGGUUUGAUGUUCAUGCCAAAUAUAGGAAAAAAGGCUGCCAAAUUGACCUAUUCAUUCCUUCUAGGUACAGCACACACACCAACUGCAGAUGUUUCCUCAGCCUGAUGAAAGGUAUUUAUACCUGAAAGCUUGCAAAGAAGAAUCUUUCCAACUAUUUGAGCUGGUCUAAUAAAAGAUAUCAGAUUUA